GUCCCAAAGUGGAUUCAAAGAUUACAGUCAUCAUUAUUCGUGCAUCCAUUAGUAUUAUUAUCCAUAACUAUCCCCCGUGAUAGAAUCAUUUGUAUAUUUUAAUUUAAAAUAAUUUUGAAGUCUAUCUGUUGUAUGAAUUGUUUUUCUUUUAAUGACUAACACUCGUACUUUGUAACGUACUUUUAAUAUUUCUUUGUAAAUAUUGGUGUGUAUACAUUUUUAUCGAUAACCCGAACUAAGUCUUGUCCAUCCCUAGUCAUGCUUUCUAUUAACUUUUCCAACACUACUUGUAUGAUCUCUGAAUUUUAGGAUUCAAACAAUUAAAACACAAUCUUAUCGAUAACCCGAACUCAGUCUUGUCCAUCCCUAGUCAUGCUUUUUAUUCACUUUUCCAACACUACUCUUGAGGUUUAAAACAAAUUUCAUCAGAAAUGACGACUUUAGUUAGGUGGUGUUUUGUGCAUUAAUUGCGCACUAAAGUUAAAAAAAAAAAAACAGCUGAAACUGAUAAGAGUCUUUAUUUAAUAAAAUAAUUACGUUCUUAAAUUGUGGUUUUUCGAAAUUCGUACAGAUUAAAGACUGUAUUUAAUUUUAAAUAUCCAUUGUUAAAAUUGUUUCUAAACUAGUUGGAAUGAAUUGCACUUUCUUUAUACUAUGUUUACCAAAUGUGAUUUUUAUUAUGUAUCAGUUCGCACAUUUCUUAUCAGUUGGGGGGAAAAUAAAAAUAAAAAUAAAUAUAUAUACUUUGACGAAGCAUUUCUUCAACGAAGUGCCCCACGAGUGUCUGCAUUGUUUUUGUGAUUUUGAUAAAAGGCGAAAUGUUCACAAUGCCAACGCACUCAAAUUUUGUAGCCAGCAGUCUGAAUUUGAACAUUGCGCCGUCCAGAACAAGAAUAUAUAUACUGUAUAAAUAACAAUACGUAUAUGCUGAUUAAAACACUUUGGGUUUUGAGUGAAUCUAGUGCUAGUUGAGGGACUGCCUGCCUGCCUGCAUGGAAAGUGUUCGGAUCUUAGGCUGUGCUGUCACCUGUGGUCAACCUCUAUUGUCAUUAUCACUGCCAUUAUACCCUUCCACCCACCAGUCCACACCCACACCAACACCCACACCCUAUUUAUUACUCAACUCAACCGUUGCCCUUUUUUUUUUUUUUAAAUAAUAUAUAACAAAGACGCCCACAUUUAUUUAUUUAUUAUUUUAACCCUUCAUCUAUACUAUUAUUACAAAUUAUUUAUGAUUUUGUGCAAGAAACGAACAGUGUGUGCCCUUCCUUGUUGUUUUUAUAUAUUUUUUAAUGGGAAUUUUUAACACUACACCACCGCUAGUGUUGGUUAACGACAACAACGUCGCCGAACAGUGCCGAAAUUUCGAUUAUUUUCGAAUUUGAAUAUUUUAUUUUCAAUUCUCCCUAUUAUUCCCUAAACAAAAUCCAAACAAAAAAAAAAUGUUUAUUUUGCACGUUGUUGUUGUUGAUGUUGUUGCAAAUGUAGUUGUUUUCAUUUCAAAUCAUUUUAUACAAAACAAAAAAGUCAAUAAAAAAGACAAAACAAAUAUUUAUAAAUAAUAGCCAAUGAUUUCUCAUUUUGAUACAAAAAAAAAAAAAAAAGUGAAAUUAUACAUCUCUUUUUUGAGUCGAAGAAUAUUUUUUAAAUGCUGAUGCUUGUGUUGUUGAUGAUGAUGAUGAUGAUGAUGAUGUUGUUGUUUUUGUGCAAAAAACAAUAAACAAAAAUGCAAAAUAACUGUGAUGUCAACAAAGGCAGCGUGAAGCAGAAACAGCAGCGGCAGAACAAAAAAAAAAAAAAGAAAAAGAGAAUCUUUGCAGAUAAAAAGAGAGAGGAGAAGAGAGAGAAAAGCAGCAGCAGAAGAAGAAGAAGAGGUAACAACAGAAGGCAACAACAAAGUGACAAAAUAAACAUUAAACAGUAGGAUUUAAUUUAAACACGGCCAGGGUGUGCGAGUGUGUGCGUGCUUAGUUUAGGGUGAGAGAGAUUUUUGCAGCAAGAGAUGCAACAGCAGAUGCAGUUGCAGAUGCAGAAGCGACAGCAGCAGCAGCAGCAGCAGCAACAUCAUCAUUGUCAGCGACAGAAAGUCGUUCAGUCUCCUUCUGACUUUCCCUUGCCAUUACCACCCACCACCACCACCACCACCUUUCUUAAAAAGCCAACACACACUGCGCUCAAAAUAAUCCUUUUUUUUGCAUUACAUUAAAAAAAAAAAUACUGAAAAAAAAACAAAAAAAAAAGUCCAA